rnacentral:rRNA from 1 species
UGGGGAAUAUUGGGCAAUGGAGGCAACUCUGACCCAGCAACGCCGCGUGAGGGAAGAAGGUUUUCGGAUUGUAAACCUCUGUCCUUGGGGACGAAAAAAAUGACGGUACCCAAGGAGGAAGCCCCGGCUAACUACGUGCCAGCAGCCGCGGUAAUACGUAGGGGGCGAGCGUUGUCCGGAAUUACUGGGCGUAAAGGGUGCGUAGGCGGUUUGGUAAGUUGGAUGUGAAAUACCCGGGCUUAACUUGGGGGGUGCAUUCAAAACUGUCAGACUUGAGUACAGGAGAGGGAAGCGGAAUUCCUAGUGUAGCGGUGAAAUGCGUAGAUAUUAGGAGGAACACCAGUGGCGAAGGCGGCUUUCUGGACUGUAACUGACGCUGAGGCACGAAAGCGUGGGGAGCAAACAGG